rnacentral:rRNA from 1 species
CCUACGGGAGGCAGCCGUGAGGAAUAUUGGUCAAUGGACGAGAGUCUGAACCAGCCAAGUAGCGUGAAGGAUGACUGCCCUAUGGGUUGUAAACUUCUUUUAUAAAGGAAUAAAACGAGGCACGUGUGCCUUUUUGCAUGUACUUUAUGAAUAAGGAUCGGCUAACUCCGUGCCAGCAGCCGCGGUAAUACGGAGGAUCCGAGCGUUAUCCGGCUUUAGUGGGUUUAAAGGGGGCGUAGAUGGGUUGUUAAGUCAGUUGUGAAAGUUUGCGGCUCAACCGUAAAAUUGCAAGUGAUACUGGCAGUCGUGAGUACAGUGGAGGUAGGAGGAAUUCGUGGUGUAGCGGUGAAAUGCAUAGAGAUCACGAAGAACCCCGAUUGCGAAGGCAGCUUACUAAACUGUGACUGACAUUGAUGCUCGAAAGUGUGGGUAUCAAACAGGAUUAGAUACCCUUGUAGUC